rnacentral:tRNA from 1 species
GGGCGCGGUAGCGGGAAAAGCGCAAGAAAUGACCGCGAAACGCCCUGAUAACAGGCCUGGCCGCGGACCCUGGUUCGAGUCCAGGCGCGUCCA